rfam:Hordeum vulgare subsp. vulgare, WGS project CAJW01000000 data, contig: morex_contig_40969
CAGAUACUCCCUCCGUCCUAAAAUUCUUGUCUUAGAUUUGUCUAGAUAUGAAUAUCAAGUAUUUAGAUACAUUUAUUUCUAGAUAAACCUAAUACAAGAAUUUUAAGACGGAGAAAGUAUUAU